rnacentral:lncRNA from 1 species
UUUCUUUUUAGUGUAGUUCUCUUUACCGUGUUCCUAAUGAUUGUCAUGUAUGAAUGUGUUGCAGGCAUCUUGCAUACCAUAUUCUCGUGGGUGGGUGCAGCGAGGGGCUGGGCAAGCGCGGUGCACAGUGGAUGGAGGUCAUCUCGUGGGAGCCCAGGGCGUUCGUCUACCACAACUUCCUAGUAAUCACUGCUGCUGCUGCCCACUCUGCCUUCCCUUCAACACCCAUAAUCACUGCUGCUGCCGCCAUGGUUCAUUCAGUCCUGCACCUGCUCAUGCAUGCACACUGUCCCGUGUUUGUAACUAUUCUAGUUACUAUGAACAGCAAGCAACCAUUCUAGUUACUACCUAGGUGUUCACAGAUUGUUGUAUUAUUUAUGUUCUUUUUACUCCCAGAGUUAUUGUUCACAUUGCCUGUUUUUCUUGGUGCAUACAUGUAUCUCAAGCAUUGCACUUAUGUGUUUGCUUAGGCGGAUAGUGGGCAGAUCUACUUUGCUGCUUUCCUGCUUACGUUAGUGUUGCCAUUGCAUUUGUUUGGUUCUGGCCUCAGCAGCAGUAUACUAAUGCUUCAAGAUCUAUUUAUUUUUCUGUUCAUUAUACUAAUGCCUCAGCAACAGUAUACUAAUGAUUGGUAUUCAAUUUGCUGCUUACGUUAGUGUUGCUACUGUUAUCCAUGCCCUCAUGCUUGUGUAUCUGUUUAUUAUUCUAUUCACUAUUCUUUUCCUAGUUGUUCUUUGUUGGAAGAUAUUGCUUUCAUUGACAGCCAUGAUAAUGAUAAUUUCCUCUCUUCUACAGGAGCUCUGGGUUGAAGAAGUUCGAAGAAGGGAACACUUCAUCUUUGUAGCUAGUUUUAUGUUCCUGGGUGUUUACUUCAUAGAUGUUCCUGGGUGUUCCUGGGUGUUUGUUUACUUCAUAGAUGUUCCUGGGUGUUCUAAAUUCCUGGAUGAUGUGGACUACUGCAUGAUUGUAAUAUAUAUAAUAUACUCAUUUUGGACGUCAUUUGUGAAAAUUUGUGUGGUUGAAAUAUUGGAAAUAUUGAUCAUUUAUUUUUUUUGAGGUGCUGAUCCUUAAUUGCUGAUACAUCAGAAAUGAAGCAAAUACUAUUUGGUCCCUAAAAAGGCCACAAAUCAAACAAUUCAGCAAAAAUGAACAAAAAUUGCUUAAAAAUCAAUUGUGAAAAGGUGAAGGCCAAGAAAAUAAAAAGGCCUAGGCCCAAAAAUAACGAGGCUGAAAUGUUGGGCUUGCCCAUCUACCUAAUCAAAAUUAAUAUGAGAAAAAAACACGAAUAGGCCGAAUUGUUGGGCUCGGCCCAUGAGAAAACCGAAUUGGACGGGCUGAAUCUUGUGCCACAUCAGCUUGCCACGCUGGAUGCCUACGUGGCCUGGGGAGGUUUCUAGUGACCAAAACGCCACAGUAGGCAUAUUUUGGUCGUAAACGUCUACGACCUUCUCACAGAGAAGGUCGCUAUAGUCAGUUUACGACCCUCAGCUUUUAACCUUCUAUUUUUGGUCACAAAAAGGUCACAAAUGAAAAACCAUGACCUUUCAGUGACCAAUAGUGGUGGUCACAAGUUGACAUAUUUCUUGUAGUGGGUCCCAGGGAAGUCUAGCAUGGGAGAACCAAGAGGCUCCCCCGAGCCCAUGGCAUGCUUCCUAGUUGACAGCCCGAAGGAGGAAGAUGUGUUGCAUCUGGCUGUAAUUCUGUAUGGGUGUGUUGAGGAACUGAGCGACCCUUGGGUGGUCCUAAGAAUGAAACACAAGUGUUGUUAGUUGCGAUUAGGAGUAGGUAAUGGUGGGCAGUAUAAAAAGGAAGAGGGCUGCGAGCUAACCGCGAUAUGGCCGGCGUAGUGCUCUGCCGCCAGAACUAUGGAGCAAGUGUUCUCAUCCCAUGAGGCGCCGCUAAGGUCUCUCAGCUUGGACACUUGGAUCCAUCGACCUCUCCACUUCCUUAAGUGGUUGCACACCUGGGUGGCAGACACCUCCUGCCCACAGAACUCGAACACCUGCUUCGCAACGGUGUUCAAGUGCACCUCCUUGAAUCCCUUGUCAGUCCUAACUCCAUUGGAGCUGAGCUCACACAUCUUGUUCAUGAACGUGGACAUGAGCAGGUGCCACUUCAUGUUGUUCGACCUGCCAUCCUUCUUUGCCUUUGUUGUUGCUACCUUGAGUACAGCGGCAGCAGCAGCACCAGGAGUUUGCUCAACGAGCACUACUGGCACAUAGACAGAAUCAGACGCGAACACCUCUGAAUCAGGUGCCAUCUCGGACAUAGGCUGCGAGUCCUCAACAAGCGAUGGAACAAACUGGCUGUCGGACAGGACAAGGGCCUGACUAGGAUCUUGCAUCUGCGUGGUCAUGUCCUACAAUCAUAGCACGCAUCGACAGUAAGCAUAGCACUCAACAUACCGGACAAUCCAUGAAAGCAGGAGCAUACAUGUGAUGGUUCAUCACUGUCAUACCAAGCACAUCUUCAUCACCAUCAUACUAAGCACAUGGUUCAUCGCUAUCAUACUAAGCAUACUGGACAAUCUAUGAGCAGGAACAUACAUCUACAACAAACAUCAUGCUACAAAUGGACCACCAAUAGCUACAAAUCACAGAUCUAAUCACAAAUCAACACAAGCACAAGGUUCAACUUCAAACUCUAAUACUAAUCUAGCCUACCACAUGCUUGAACAUCUAACCCUACCACAAAUUGCAACUGCAGCAUAGCAAUCAACCAUAUGAGCUCACAGAUCAGAGCACUAAUCAACCAUGCAUCUACAUCAAACCCUAGCUGUAGCUCAGAUCUAGCUAGAAGGAACAGAGAGAAAGGGGGAUUGAACUCACAGAGGCCAUGGCUGUAGCUCGAGGACGAGGGGGGAACGGUCAUAGAAGAUCACCAUCGGCCGGUGAAGGACCGCCGACACCGUGGACCGUCGGCCGUUGAAGAUGCGUCGCUUUCCUGCUCAUCGGUGCCGAUGCGCGUCGGCGGGAAAGCUCGAAAGGGAGGAGAAUGGUGGUGGGAGUUGGGGCGAUGAGGGAGGGGCUAAAUAGGGCGGACUCGGUGGGAGGUGAGACAAAAUCCUCUCGCCGAUUUUUUGGCGGCGCGAGCGAGCUCGCGCCAUCUCCCUAGUCGCAUGAGGAGAGAAGCGCAUCGCCCCCCCCCCCUGCGUCGCCCGAGCCAGGCUCGCGAGCUACUGCCGAUUCGGGCGUUUCCCUUGGGCCUGGCCUGGAGGUGCUUUAAUGUUGUGCCAUGCGGGCCGCACAGUAAACGCAGGCAACCAAACGUGCCACUUUCUUCCCGUGCGGGCUAGGCUGGGCCAUAUGCAGGCAACCAAACACGCUUUGUGUGGGCAUUGACUGGUCAUUUGUUUGUCCUCGCCCAUAAUCAUACUCCUCAAAGGUUCAUCCCCCAAAUUCAUACGAUUCAUGCAACUAUACGUAGAUAAAACAUUGUAACAUAAAUCAAACCUACUAUAUAAUACUCCAUCCGUCCUAAAAUAAGUGAUAACUUUAGUACAAAGUUAGUACAAAGUUGAGUCAUUUAUUUUAGGACGGAGAACAAUCCAACACAAAAGAUCAAGUAUAUCAUUGGACAAAGUUCAUCGCCGGACAAAUAUUAACUACAUACAAAAUAAACAAGAUAGACAGAGUAGGGCGAACAUCGCCAUUUUCUGGCAGAGCCCUUUCCCUUGCGGCCCAGAGCGGCGGUGGUAGAGGACCCUCCGUGUAGGCACCCCUGGCGGGAGUUGUAUCAUCAUCGUUCGUGCUAGUCAUGCCCCUGCCUGAUGAAGACGAGAUGAUGCUGAUGAGACGUCGGACGACAGGUGCCUACUCCUUGGCGAACCAUGUUGUCUUCGCCUUGGCGGUCUCCUUCUGCAUCGUGAGGCGUUGACUCUUCGAUACCGAGCCGGUGCGCCUUCACAUUCUUGUGGCGGAAGCGCCUCGGGUCCGUCUCCGCCAUGGUUAGCGACCGACAAAGGGCAUUGCGUAGAAGAUGCUCCUCCGGGUCGACAUGCAUGGAUCUCGCAUGUGUACGGAAGGAAACGGCCUCCACCGCCCUCUGCCCACCCCGCUGCCACUCGAGGCGUGUAGCUUUGGCCUCCGACUCUGACAUCCUCAUUCAUUAGCUCGUCGCGAGCACGGGCACCCAAUGCUGCCCGGUAGGAGGUGGGGCCAGAGGGAAAGGGAAGUGGCAUGCCCGGCGACGGAUCUGCAGUGGCGCAAAGCGCGAUGGCGCGUCACGCUCGGCCAAAUUGCAUCGUCGGGCCAUCGGGGACGAGGCGAAGUCAAGCUCCUGCCAAUGUCCACCCUCGAACGUUGGAUGGCAAAGCAGAGCACAAGAUCAUUGCCAUUCGAAGCCUCGCUGCUGGAGCCGUCCUCCUUCAAGAGCUCUUCCCAGCCAAUGGGAUCUGACUCGUUGCCUGAGGUGCUGCUACAGUGACUGCCGGAGUCGACCAUGGUACAGGGACGGGGAGGAGAGGAGACGAAGAGUGGAAGUAGUCAAGAGUGUGGACUUUGAUUAGGGUUUCGGCCGUCGGUAGGGUAUUUAUGGGGCCAAGGUGGGGCCGUAUCCGAUGUGACGAAUGCGUCCGGGCCUCCUCAUGUCUGCCCCAGAUAUUUGGGUGCCAAAUAGCCCGAUGGUUGGGCUAUGCCAGUUCCUCCGGGCGGCCUGUCUGAAAAUUCGGGGAGGAUAAUAAAGCCAGAAAUCCAGCAGUAUUCACAAACUGCACAAUUCUUAGACGAUAGCAACUUUGCUAAUUUAUUGAAGUGUUAUUCAUCACAGGAUUGUAAUCAAAGACUUACCCGGGUAUAUCAUCGUUCCUACUCUCAAAUUAUGUGUACUGCUGUCAACAUUUGACUACGACAGUAUAUAAAACAAGCCAAAUCAAGCAAUUUUAGGCCCUUCAAGUGCUAAAAAGAGCGAAAUAUUUUAACAGCAUCACACUGCAAUAAUCAAGCCACGACGGCGGAUAACAUACUGAUAUCCUGACAAUAUUUACAUGCGUGGACACAUACUUGCAGUGAACCCACCCAAUAAAAGCUGUACAUUUUUUUCUGGGAUAUUUUCUCCCAAGGACUGUUCCUAGCAUAUUUUAGAUGUAUAUAUGUACACCACUGAAUCCUGAGACUACCAUGGCUAGAACUAGCAAACCAUUUUUGAGAACAGAUCAUCUAGAGCCGAGUACAAGGGUUGCGCGGCUCUGGGCUUCUCCACCCUCCCAAACAGGAUAUCGGUCGUGGUCAAGUAGGCGUCCCCAUAGAAGCGCAGAUUGGUGUCUGAUCUGGUUGUCACAACAUUUCCUUCAAGAGAGACCCCAACAAAGGCACCUGUUUCAAGUUUUGAGAUGAAGCUACGAAUCAGAAGGAUACCAACAUACCUGUGAUGAAGCCUGCAAGAUUCUUAACAGGGAAAGCCAAACAUUGGAGACUGAAUUUAAUUGAAAAGGCAUCCUUUGGCUAAUGAGAAGACAGAAUGUGUGCCUAUGACCUUUUUUUUCCUCCUUAAAAAUGAGAUUGUACAGUAACUUUCAAAUUUAUUUUACAUGCCACAAUAAACACUCUCAAACUUGACAAAUAACUUCAGAGAGCAAGCUCAGUCCGAAGUUUAAAAACUUAAAUUUGUUUUUUUACUUGAUAACAGUGUUAAAAUUGUGCUGAUUCCCACCCAUUUCAAUCAUUUCUAAUAUUAAGCACAUCUGAAACGACAGCAAUAAUUCUCAGACGCGACUUUCUUAUUACCUUUGCUGCAGCUAUAAGUGUAGCAUAUCCCAGAACCUUUUUCACUUGCUCGAACAUCUGCUUCAAGGGCUCUGCCAAUUGGUCCUGCUGCCGCACUCAAUCCUGCCCCAAGAGAAAGAUGCAUGCGGCUGCUGAAUGCCUUGACAGCUUUAAGAUCAUGAAGCACAAUUAUAAAAUCUGUCAAUUCUCCUCCAAUCUGGAAAACACAAAGAAAUGUCAUUAUCAUGGUGAGAUGAUCUUAAGUAAUGACAUAGUGUAGUUCAGUGUCCAAAUAAUAAGAGCGCUUCAACAUAAACUUGUCUCUGAUAUCAUGCCAACCUUAUAAGCAAACAGGUCAUGAUGCUUAAUGCAUUUCAUGGAAAUUAUUCUGUGAAGAUCACAAGAAUAAAAUGAGUAACAUGCAUGUUCCUUUUUUCUGGUGAACAUCACAAGAAUAUAUCACCAGCAGAUAAACUUAGGCGUUGCCCGGGGAUUCAGAGAGAAGAUUUUACUGGAGAAAUACCUGCACUCCCCAUCCCAAUCCAACAGAUAAAAUCGCUGAUGGCGCAGACCAUGAUCCAUCUGAUCGGCGAGCAACUACAAGACCAGUGCCCAUUUUGUAUGUAAGAACCGCACCUGCUUUGGCCACUGUGAGCACAGCAAGCCCCUUUGCUCCCUUGAGGAUAGAUGAUGGGAUUGACUUCUCAGGAUUUAAUCUAGAAACCUACACAUACCAAAACAGAAACGCUUCUGAGCUCUGGAAUACAAGUAUAUAUCGGUUGGGUACAAGAUUAAACAUACCUGGCAAUAUUUCCUCAGUGUGUUUGUUGCCUUGUAUAUUUCAUACUCCAUUGACAAUCCAACAGGCAAAUUCAACCAGCUCCUCGUACUUGUCCAAUCCAUGACGUCAUGUUUGGCAGGCUGCAUGGCAUUACUGUUGUAGUUGAUCAAUAAGGCCUGGAGUGGAUCAAGUCUGUCGUAGCAAGCAUCACACACUCUCUGAGGAUCACGCAGUCUGAACUUCAUGGGCAUCAAGCAUCUUCCCUUGGAACAUUCUUUGCAGAAUAUACCUCCACAGAAGCGGCAAUGGUGCCUUCCACGAGUCAGAGCUGUGAAAGGAAAGCUGCACUGCAGGCAUACACUGGCAGAGCUAUCCGGUAACCAUUCCGGGGGAUCUGCCUGGAGCACCUCUCUGUAUGCACUGAACUGUAAAGCAUUUGCUUCAAGUAGCGGUGGUGCACUCGGAACGCAGACAGAUGAAUGCAAGUCACCAUCCUUGCCAGCGCCUAGAAAUGAUACAUCUGUGCUGAAACUUUGCUGCCGUGAUGCAUCAUCCCCAAUCUUGCUUGGACGCGAAACAAUCGCAGCAAGACCACCUAGCACGGUCUUCAGAUUGAUAGUUGAACUAGCAUGAGCUGUAGGGAACGGAUCUUCUCUUGAACCAUAUUCAGAUGGAAAGUCUGGUUCCAGAGAUGGCUCAUAGAGAUAGUCAUGCACCGGGUAAGUGUUUCCUGGAGCUAGAUCGGACAUAGGAGCUGUCUGGCUGUAGUAGCUAUCGAUUUUGGAGAGGGAUGAGUACGACAUCACUUCAUUUGGGGUCUCCAUGGAAUCAUGUAGCUACAGCACUCAUGUAGGUGAUAAGCAAUGACAGAGUAAGACCUAAAAACAGAGAUGGAAACCAAGAUUAAUAUGGUGCAGAUCCUUUAAAGUUUAUCUAGUUCGUAUAACAUUAUCGCAAGCUCAUUCUUUAAACCAAUUCGUUCAUUUUAUUGUCUACUUCUAGCAGAUAUAUCAAACUUCAUAGUCUACACACGUAUUUGAGAAUUAUAUGGCUAAGAACUGUGAUUCAUAGCAUUGUAAUUGAGCAAUCUAUUCAGCAACACACAUUGCAACAGAGCGACGAACAAUUCAUGUAACUCUAUGUGCAUCAUGAGUCCAAAACAAGAGGUGAAAUCGCAGCUGCACUACAGCAAAACACACCCAAAGUAACUCCCCCAAAACGAUCACACAACCACGUAUACCUAGCGUCCACGGGUAAGCAAGCAAUUGGGGGCAAUUUCUGAAACCCUAGACGAAAUAGAUGGGUCGAUCAGCCGAAAAUUUAACUUAACCCUGCCUAGCCAGUAGAACAUCAAUCGCGAACAAACACCACAGAUGAAUCAAAAAAUACUGCGUGAUGGGAUCAAACGAGUCGGCAGGGGUAAAGUAGCUAUGCUAAAUCAAUCGUCUCCAUCCAUCCGCCCUAACGAAUCACCCCGCCGNNNNNNNNNNNNNNNNNNNNNNNNNNNNNNNNNNNNNNNNNNNNNNNNNNNNNNNNNNNNNNNNNNNNNNNNNNNNNNNNNNNNNNNNNNNNNNNNNNNNNNNNNNNNNNNNNNNNNNNNNNNNNNNNNNNNNNNNNNNNNNNNNNNNNNNNNNNNNNNNNNNNNNNNNNNNNNNNNNNNNNNNNNNNNNNNNNNNNNNNNNNNNNNNNNNNNNNNNNNNNNNNNNNNNNNNNNNNNNNNNNNNNNNNNNNNNNNNNNNNNNNNNNNNNNNNNNNNNNNNNNNNNNNNNNNNNNNNNNNNNNNNNNNNNNNNNNNNNNNNNNNNNNNNNNNNNNNNNNNNNNNNNNNNNNNNNNNNNNNNNNNNNNNNNNNNNNNNNNNNNNNNNNNNNNNNNNNNNNNNNNNNNNNNNNNNNNCGGGAGGAAGCGUCGGGCGUGGGGAUUGGGGUGGGUUUCUUCCGUUCGCCGGCAAGAUGGAAGGGGGAAGAAGUUGAAGGGAGGAGCGAUGCGGGCACGCCGCACGCGGCUGCCUCAUCUGUACGUUAUCGGGCUCGGGCUCGGGCUGGGUCCUAGUCAAUCGGGUACCGUGACGGAUGCGGUUUGCUUUUCGGAGCCAUGGGGCCCACUUGAGGCCCAGGAAGGCAGGUGAUGCGGAUGAUGGGCCGGCCUAUCGUGCUGCCGUGUGACACCGGCCGUUCCGGCCUCCCCGGCGGCCGUGGCAGAAAGCGAAAGCUCGACCGCUCGAGGCUGGAGCGGCGCGACGGCGUGGCUCGCGCGGGUUUUGUCAGCAGCCGCGGCUGCGAACUGGCGGUGUGGAGGAGGGCGGGCGCCGACGCGUCCGGGUCACCCGUCUGCGCGCCUAUCGCGUGUGAGUCCUCUGCUCAGCUUGUUGCUUCGAUUCCGUGGAAAUAUCGCUGAAAUCUUUCGGGAGGAAUGCCCAAAUUAAUUUAUCGUCGAUCGUAAAUUUUGAUCUCGGGUGCCCCAAAAUCGAUCGCCCAGAACUACCGACCAGCGAGCUCUGAACGUUUUCACCCACCGCUGCCAAUCCUAGCCGCCGUGAAAAACAGAACGCAUCUCACCCAUCAUGAAAUUAAUCAGGAGCGGAAUAAACGAGUUAUACCCUUCAGUAGGCCAUGCAGAGGCCGCGGCUUUGGUGGCAGCAGCGGCGUCCUCGGCGGCCUUCUUGUCGGCUUCAGCUUUCUCGGCGGCGGCACGGUCGGGGUCGGUGGACAUGGUGAUGAUGAAAGCGAUGCGGACGUAGAGGAAGUAGACGAUCGGAAGCGAGCAGUCGCGUAAUCGCUGCCCAAAAACCUAUUCACCCCUCACCCCGUACAGGAACCAGAAGGGCGUGGUUUCGGAGACCUGCUCUCCUGUCGACCGUGUACGCGGUGAACGGGAUGGAGUCGCCGGCGGCGGCAGCAGCAGAGGAACGAUGUGGGCGUGGAGGCGGAAAUGCGUUCUGUUUUUCGCGGCGGCUAGGGUUGGCAGCGCCCCACAUAUAUAUGUGCGGCCGCGCGCGUGGAGAGACGUGGGCUGAACCCACGUCCAAGUCGGUAGCCCACGAUCCGACGUCUCAGAUCGUGGCCCUACCUGUCAAAGACUCUCCGUUCCUGACCGGCAAAAAGAAGCGCAUAGAAACGAGCUCGGCUCGGCUCAAUCCCGCGGCGCGGCGCGGCGCGGCGAGCGGAGGAGGAGGAGGAGUGCGCGAGGGCCUCUUCUCUUCUCAAGCUCUAAUAGCAUGUAGAAGAGCCACCCUUAUAAACCACUCCAACUUUCCUUCCACUAGCAUGGUGGGACUAAACUUCCCACCACCUUGUCAUGCCACCUACAUGGGCCCUUAGAGAUCAAAUUUGAAAUUGUCAUAUGGGCUCUAGGCCCAUCUCACAUUUCAACAAAGGUGUCAAGAGGUCCCUUGCUGUCAUGUGCAAUGCAAUUGCUCCCUAUUUGUCAAGUACUCCUCUUCCUAUGUAGUUUAGGGGGUUAAGGUGUAGCCCUACCGGGCAUUUUAGAGACAGGUUUUAUAGGAACGAAAUUACCUUUUCACUAUAUAUACUACGGGUUUUUAUUUGAAAAAUACAAUAUUCCAUACUAAAGGAUUCGGAUCCAUAACCACGAGUUCCAGUGCACUUAGGUCUCGUAGCCCUUGGCAACGAGGCCCUAUCAAUAGUAUUCCACAUAGGAAAUCCAUUCUAGAAAAACAAUUAGACAAACUUGGGUUUUGCAAGCCAAGAUAAGAUUGAGGCGGUGGAUGGAGAGUUCUACAAUGAAUUGGUGGGAUGAAGGUGCUAGCUUGGCAAGAUAAGAAGUUCAAUGUGUACGAUAGAUUUGGUCCUGGUGUCACCAUCCUUUUCGAGUUCUUAUAGGAUUAGCAAGAUGUUCUAGUGUUAACAAUAGAGAAAUUGAAUGAAUGAAAUAUAUCUAAAGAAGAAAGGAGCCAUGUCUUUGUAAAAGUCCGAAGAAAAGGGAUUUUGAAUAUGCCUUUUCCUUUUUCCCUCAGAAAAAUGACUCAAUCAAAAUCCGGUCCUAAUAAAUGUUAAUUGCACAGAAUGGGAAACUUGGGAGUAAAACAAAGACUAUCUUAUUCAUUCAUUCAAAUACUGUAUCCAUGAGAAAGUACCAACAACACAGCAUCCAUCCAGUUCCCCUACCGCGACAACACGGCCGGGGCCUCAACAGGAACUAAAGUUCAUACUGAAUCAAGAACGGUAACAAAGGACAAUCAAAGGCAUAACACUCUCCGAUCUGUGCUUCAUCACUGAAUCAAGAACGGUAAAGCGGAGCGCUCGCCCGCCAUUUAUUUCUCUGGUAAGGACAAAUCAU